rnacentral:rRNA from 1 species
GACAGAGGUCCCGAGCGUUAGGCGGAAUCACUGGGCUUAAAGCGUGUGUAGGCGGCGGCCUAAGUACCUUGUGAAAUCCCACGGCUCACCCGUGGAACUGCUCGGUAUACUGGGUCGCUUGAGCCACUUAGGGGCUACCGGAACAAAUGGUGGAGCGGUGAAAUGCGUAGAUAUCACUUGGAACGCCAAUGGUGAAAACAGGUAGCUGGGAGUGUGCUGACGCUGAGACACGAAAGCCAGGGGAGCGAACGGG